rnacentral:rRNA from 1 species
CCCGCUGAACUUAAGCAUAUCACUAAGCGGAGGAAAAGAAAUUAACUAAGAUUGCCUCAGUAACGGCGAGUGAAGCGGCAAGAGCCCAAAAUGUAAAUCUUCACGCUGCGCGUGACGAAUUGUAAUCUAAAGAUGGUUCGCUCAACGGGUGGUGGCGCAGAAGUGCCUUAGAACGGGCCGCCAGAGAGGGUGACAGCCCCGUAUGUGGUGCCACUACCUAACGAGCGGGUUAUCAAAGAGUCGGGUUGUUUUGUAUUGCAGCCCUAAGUGGGAGAUAAACUUCUUCUAAGGCUAAAUAUCUAUGGGAAACCGAUAGCGAACAAGUACUGUGAAGGAAAGAUGAAGAGAACUUUGAAAAGAGAGUCAAAAGACUUGAAAUCGUUGAGAAGGAAGCGGUAGGAAUUUAUUCUUCGGCGGAGGUCGGUGGCAGUUGCCUAACCAUUUCAGGGUGUAAGUACAGCAAUGGCUUUGCUCUGAACUUGGGGAAGCGGCUGCUUUGUCCUUCGUCGUGAGGCAAGAUGGGGUCGUGUUCCCACAGAGGCUUCUCCAACUUGGCUUGAUUCGUUAGGCAGUUGGGGUGUGCUGGUGGGCGUGCGGCCUGAGGGUGCUUCGUGCGAUCUUGCCAAAAUGGUUCUUACCGGCCCGUCUUGAAACACGG